AGCGAACGCUGGCGGCAGGCUUAACACAUGCAAGUCGAACGCCCCGCACGGGGAGUGGCAGACGGGUGAGUAACACGUGGGAACGUACCCUUUGGUUCGGAAUAACUUGGGGAAACUCAAGCUAAUACCGGAUAAGCCCUUAUGGGGAAAGGUUUACUGCCGAAGGAUCGGCCCGCGUCUGAUUAGCUAGUUGGUGAGGUAAUGGCUCACCAAGGCGACGAUCAGUAGCUGGUCUGAGAGGAUGAUCAGCCACACUGGGACUGAGACACGGCCCAGACUCCUACGGGAGGCAGCAGUGGGGAAUAUUGGACAAUGGGGGCAACCCUGAUCCAGCCAUGCCGCGUGAGUGAUGAAGGCCUUAGGGUUGUAAAGCUCUUUUACCCGGGACGAUAAUGACUGUACCGGGAGAAUAAGCCCCGGCUAACUUCGUGCCAGCCGCCGCAGUAA
rnacentral:rRNA from 1 species